GAUAACUCUAAAAGAAGAAGUGUGGUGGUUCUUACUCUUUUGAGGCUGUGUACUGUUUUUGGAAACUAAGGAAAAAUAUGGAUCCUCUCUCCAGAAAAAUGCACAUUCAUACAUUUUAUGAAUAGCUUUGUAACUGGAAGGUACAUUCAAUUAUUUCAGCACCUAUGGGUGCACUUCUACAACAAUGAACAAGACAGAUGUGGGUCCUGCUGGCACAGAGGUCACAAGGUAAAAGAAGGGUCAAGAGUCUAACAAAAGGAUAUCAACAUGACAUGACUCAAGAUUUUGAGGCUAGAAGCAGAGACAGCAGUCAAAGCUGAUGUGAUAAGCUAGAUAAGAGAAGAUGUCAGGCUGGGUUAGGAUGGUGUUGGGCUAAAAAUGGGGAAAACUAGAAAGAUCCAGAAUAAGAAAUAUCAACAGGGCUUAGCUGUUAGGUGGGAAUCUGAGAUGAUGGUGAAGUUCUGCCUUGAGCACACUGAGAUGAGGAAACAGGAGAAGAUGGUUUGGGAGAAAACAAAUGGCUUCCCCUGUCCUGCUGUA